rnacentral:snRNA from 1 species
GUGCUCGCUUCGACAGCACACAUACUAAAAUUAGAAUGAUACAGAGAAGAUUAGCGUGGCCCCUGCGCAAGAAUGACACAGCUGUAUUUUUUAAAAAGUAAAUAAAACUAUU